AGAUUAAGUUAUUAAGGGCGCACGGUGGAUGCCUUGGCACUAGAAGCCGAAGAAGGACGUUACUAACGACGAUAUGCUUUGGGGAGCUGUAAGUAAGCGUUGAUCCAGAGAUUUCCGAAUGGGGAAACCCAACAUGAGUUAUGUCAUGUUAUCGAUAUGUGAAUACAUAGCAUAUCAGAAGGCAGACCCGGAGAACUGAAACAUCUUAGUACCCGGAGGAAGAGAAAGAAAAAUCGAUUCCCUGAGUAGCGGCGAGCGAAACGGGAAGAGCCCAAACCAACAAGCUUGCUUGUUGGGGUUGUAGGACACUCUAUACGGAGUUACAAAAGUAUAUAUUAGACGAAUCAUCUGGAAAGUUGAAUCAAAGAAGGUAAUAAUCCUGUAGUCGAAAAUAUAUACUCUCUUGAGUGGAUCCUGAGUACGACGGAGCACGUGAAAUUCCGUCGGAAUCUGGGAGGACCAUCUCCUAAGGCUAAAUACUCUCUAGUGACCGAUAGUGAACCAGUACCGUGAGGGAAAGGUGAAAAGUACCCCGGAAGGGGAGUGAAAGAGAACUUGAAACCGUGUGCUUACAAGUAGUCAGAGCCCGUUAAUGGGUGAUGGCGUGCCUUUUGUAGAAUGAACCGGCGAGUUACGAUUUGAUGCAAGGUUAAGCAGUGAAUGUGGAGCCGUAGCGAAAGCGAGUCUGAAUAGGGCGUUGAGUAUUUGGUCGUAGACCCGAAACCAGGUGAUCUACCCUUGGUCAGGUUGAAGUUCAGGUAACACUGAAUGGAGGACCGAACCGACUUACGUUGAAAAGUGAGCGGAUGAACUGAGGGUAGCGGAGAAAUUCCAAUCGAACCUGGAGAUAGCUGGUUCUCUCCGAAAUAGCUUUAGGGCUAGCCUCAAGUGAUGAUUAUUGGAGGUAGAGCACUGUUUGGACGAGGGGCCCUUCUCGGGUUACCGAAUUCAGACAAACUCCGAAUGCCAAUCAAUUUAACUUGGGAGUCAGAACAUGGGUGAUAAGGUCCGUGUUCGAAAGGGAAACAGCCCAGACCACCAGCUAAGGUCCCAAAAUAUAUGUUAAGUGGAAAAGGAUGUGGCGUUGCCCAGACAACUAGGAUGUUGGCUUAGAAGCAGCCAUCAUUUAAAGAGUGCGUAAUAGCUCACUAGUCGAGUGACACUGCGCCGAAAAUGUACCGGGGCUAAACAUAUUACCGAAGCUGUGGAUUGUCCGUAGGACAAUGGUAGGAGAGCGUUCUAAGGGUGUUGAAGCAUGAUCGCAAGGACAUGUGGAGCGCUUAGAAGUGAGAAUGCCGGUGUGAGUAGCGAAAGACGGGUGAGAAUCCCGUCCACCGAUUGACUAAGGUUUCCAGAGGAAGGCUCGUCCGCUCUGGGUUAGUCGGGUCCUAAGCUGAGGCCGACAGGCGUAGGCGAUGGAUAACAGGUUGAUAUUCCUGUACCACCUAGUAUCGUUUUAAUCGAUGGGGGGACGCAGUAGGAUAGGCGAAGCGUGCUAUUGGAUUGCACGUCCAAGCAGUAAGACUGAGUGUUAGGCAAAUCCGGCACUCAUAAGGUCAAGCUGUGAUGGGGAGAGGAAAUUGUUUCCUCGAGUCGUUGAUUUCACACUGCCAAGAAAAGCCUCUAGAUAGAUAACAGGUGCCCGUACCGCAAACCGACACAGGUAGUCAAGAUGAGAAUUCUAAGGUGAGCGAGCGAACUCUCGUUAAGGAACUCGGCAAAAUGACCCCGUAACUUCGGGAGAAGGGGUGCUCUUUAGGGUUAACGCCCAGAAGAGCCGCAGUGAAUAGGCCCAAGCGACUGUUUAUCAAAAACACAGGUCUCUGCUAAACCGUAAGGUGAUGUAUAGGGGCUGACGCCUGCCCGGUGCUGGAAGGUUAAGAGGAGUAGUUAGCUUCUGCGAAGCUACGAAUCGAAGCCCCAGUAAACGGCGGCCGUAACUAUAACGGUCCUAAGGUAGCGAAAUUCCUUGUCGGGUAAGUUCCGACCCGCACGAAAGGCGUAACGAUUUGGGCACUGUCUCAACGAGAGACUCGGUGAAAUCAUAGUACCUGUGAAGAUGCAGGUUACCCGCGACAGGACGGAAAGACCCCGUGGAGCUUUACUGUAGCCUGAUAUUGAAAUUCGGCACAGCUUGUACAGGAUAGGUAGGAGCCUUUGAAACGUGAGCGCUAGCUUACGUGGAGGCAUUGGUGGGAUACUACCCUAGCUGUGUUGGCUUUCUAACCCGCACCACUUAUCGUGGUGGGAGACAGUGUCAGGUGGGCAGUUUGACUGGGGCGGUCGCCUCCUAAAAGGUAACGGAGGCGCUCAAAGGUUCCCUCAGAAUGGUUGGAAAUCAUUCAUAGAGUGUAAAGGCAUAAGGGAGCUUGACUGCGAGACUUACAAGUCGAGCAGGGUCGAAAGACGGACUUAGUGAUCCGGUGGUUCCGCAUGGAAGGGCCAUCGCUCAACGGAUAAAAGCUACCCCGGGGAUAACAGGCUUAUCUCCCCCAAGAGUUCACAUCGACGGGGAGGUUUGGCACCUCGAUGUCGGCUCAUCGCAUCCUGGGGCUGUAGUCGGUCCCAAGGGUUGGGCUGUUCGCCCAUUAAAGCGGUACGCGAGCUGGGUUCAGAACGUCGUGAGACAGUUCGGUCCCUAUCCGUCGUGGGCGUAGGAAAUUUGAGAGGAGCUGUCCUUAGUACGAGAGGACCGGGAUGGACAUACCUCUGGUGUACCAGUUGUCGUGCCAACGGCAUAGCUGGGUAGCUAUGUAUGGACGGGAUAAGUGCUGAAAGCAUCUAAGCAUGAAGCCCCCCUCAAGAUGAGAUUUCCCAACUUCGGUUAUAAGAUCCCUCAAAGAUGAUGAGGUUAAUAGGUUCGAGGUGGAAGCGUGGUGACACGUGGAGCUGACGAAUACUAAUCGAUCGAAGACUUAAUCAAUUU
rnacentral:rRNA from 1 species